AAAGCUCGGGGCCGUCCGGCGUGCCGGCAGAGCGGGGCAUGCGCCCGCAGCAGCCCGGCAGAAUCCCCGAGCAGGGCCCGUCUAUCAGCACCGCCAGCCUGCCCGUGACUCAGCAUCCUCCGCCCCGCUCCCGCUUCCUCCCGGCACCCGGGAAUCGCCGCCGGCACGCUCAGAGGAUGCUCCCGCAAAAUGCGGAGGGAAGAGAGGCGCUCAUGCGAACGGCUCCUCAGGCAGGUGGGAGAUUCCCAGGGCAGGGAAUUUGCCUUCCAAGAUUUCGGGCUCGCUUCGCACCAGCUUCGGGAGGGGGAAAAAGCCGGGCUUCGUCUGCGCCACGCGGUGGGAAGGAGCCGAAGGCCGUCUCCAGUAGCAACGUGCUUUUCCAGCCCGACGGUGGGAAAAGCUCCCCAGCGCUUCCUCCUCCCAGCGCUGGCACAACGCCGGCCUCUCUGCUUCUGCCUGGCGCACUUCCCACAUGCAAAGAGCUAUCCCGGAUGAAUCCAUGCCGGAAUUAACCACAGCAGCCUCCCGCUCCUCUGCUCAGCCCCAGGUUUCAGUAGCGACAUCCACAGGGAUGCGAGUUCUCGAUGCUUCUCCCUGCUCCAGCCCGCUGUGCUCGCAAAGCUGGAAUCCGGCAGCUGGUGACUUUAAGGCAGAAUUUACAUUUUAUUCCUCCUAUGUUCCCGUGAGGAGCUCCUGGCCAUCCCGCAGGUCGGUUGAAGUACUUCUGAUUGCUUUAAUUUGCUCUGAACGGAGAAUCCAGCCCAUCCUUGGACACACCACGAUUAGUUGGGAUGGGGGACUUCCAUCCCUGCCAGCUGCUGGAAGAGCUCCAGAGGAGCCGGCAGCACCAAGCAGUGCCAGGGCAGUGCUGGGAGCCAGCGCCUCAAUCCUGCCACCCGCUCCCGGAGGAUGAGCGUUCAGAGCCAGCUGGCCUUGCCACGGAGGAGCUGCCGGAUCCAACUCGCCACCUUCCCACCACGGAACAGCUAUCCAGGGGCUGUGGCCACACGGGAAGGUCACCCUGCACCACAAAUGCAGCCUCGAGGGGAGGUGUGAGGGAGCAGAGCCCGCGUGGCCGUGCCCCUGUGCCCAGCCCUGCUCACGCUCUCCGUGUGUGCAGCACCAGCACCUGAAAAUGAAACCGGCCCCACUCGCCGCAGUUCCACGCCAGUGACGUGCAUAGGAAAUGUGAUUGAUGCGCCGGCUCUCCCAGAAAUAACUGUUCCCAACCGGAGGAGAAGCGUCUGGAGGCAUUUGCAGCUCCCUUUGUAAGCACAGGACUAUUCAAAACUCAUCCCAAGGACUAUUUUCAGGAGAGGGCGAAGCGAGGGGCUGGGAGACGCCCUGGCCGGCCCCACAGCUCCCCGCUUCCUGAGUGGCAGAAAUACAAAGUUCCCACAAUCCCAAGAGCGGGAACAUUGUUCCUUCCCAGGAUGUCCUCCAUGAAAAGAGCUAUUCUGAGCCGGCUGCAGCCUUUCUUGGCAUGGCCCCGCAGCCGCUCCGAGGCAGCUAUAAAAGGCCAGGUUACAAUGAA